rnacentral:rRNA from 1 species
CGUGUAGGCGGCCAGGUAAGUCAGAUGUGAAAGCCCUGGGCUUAACCCAGGAAGUGCAUUUGAAACUGCUUGGCUAGAGUAGGGGAGAGGAAAGUGGAAUUCCUGGUGUAGAGGUGAAAUUCGUAGAUAUCAGGAGGAACACCGGUGGCGAAGGCGACUUUCUGGCCCUAUACUGACGCUCAGGCACGAAAGCGUGGGGAGCAAACA